rnacentral:tRNA from 1 species
UCACGAAUAGCUCAGCUGGUAGAGCAAAAGACUUGUACUCUUUGGGUCGAAGGUUCGAUUCCUUCAUCACGCG